rnacentral:lncRNA from 1 species
AGGCCACAAUUAAAAAUAUUUUGAUUUGCCCAGACCCUACCAAAAGGUUGAGACAGUGGGUAGGUAGGUAGGCAUUUUCUUUUUUUUUUUUUUCUAAAAGGAAAUUGAAGUAUCUGGUGUUUAUUAGUCUUCAUGCCUAUCUGAUUAAAAAAAACUUCUUCAAAUCAGGACAAUAAAAGAAUUUGAGUAGGCAGCUUUUUUCUGGGUAGGUAGCGUUUGGACAAACAAACCUAUUCUUUUUUAUGGCCC